rnacentral:rRNA from 1 species
ACUCAAAUGAAUUGACGGGGGCCCGCACAAGUGGUGGAGCAUGUGGUUUAAUUCGAUGCUACGCGAAGAACCUUACCUGGGUUUGACAUCCACUGGAAGGCGCCAGAGAUGGUGUCCGUCCUUCGGGACUGGUGGACAGGUGCUGCAUGGCUGUCGUCAGCUCGUGCCGUGAGGUGUUGGGUUAAGUCCCGCAACGAGCGCAACCCUUGUCCUUAGUUGCCAUCGGGUAAAGCCGGGCACUCUGGGGAGACUGCCAGCAUAAGUUGGAGGAAGGUGGGGAUGACGUCAAGUCAGCAUGGCCCUUACGUCCAGGGCUACACACGUGCUACAAUGACCGGUACAAAGGGCUGCGAAGCCGCGAGGUGGAGCGAAUCCCAAAAAGCCGGCCUCAGUUCGGAUUGCAGGCUGCAACUCGCCUGCAUGAAGGCGGAAUCACUAGUAACUGCAGAUCAGCUACGCUGCGGUGAAUACGUUCCCGGGCCUUGUACACACCGCCCGU